GUCUCUGUGGCGCAAUUGGCGAGCGCGUUCAGCUGUUAACCUAAAGGUUGGUGGUUCGAGCCCACCCAGGGAUG
rnacentral:tRNA from 1 species